CUUAUGAAGUUAGCGGCGGACGGGUGAGUAACACGUGGGUAACCUGCCCAUAAGACUGGGAUAACUCCGGGAAACCGGGGCUAAUACCGGAUAACAUUUUGAACCGCAUGGUUCGAAAUUGAAAGGCGGCUUCGGCUGUCACUUAUGGAUGGACCCGCGUCGCAUUAGCUAGUUGGUGAGGUAACGGCUCACCAAGGCAACGAUGCGUAGCCGACCUGAGAGGGUGAUCGGCCACACUGGGACUGAGACACGGCCCAGACUCCUACGGGAGGCAGCAGUAGGGAAUCUUCCGCAAUGGACGAAAGUCUGACGGAGCAACGCCGCGUGAGUGAUGAAGGCUUUCGGGUCGUAAAACUCUGUUGUUAGGGAAGAACAAGUGCUAGUUGAAUAAGCUGGCACCUUGACGGUACCUAACCAGAAAGCCACGGCUAACUACGUGCCAGCAGCCGCGGUAAUACGUAGGUGGCAAGCGUUAUCCGGAAUUAUUGGGCGUAAAGCGCGCGCAGGUGGUUUCUUAAGUCUGAUGU
rnacentral:rRNA from 1 species